AUAAGGAGUUCCGGUUGAGAAUAUCUGAAGAUGCCCCUCCUACCUUGCUCUGUGGCCCUGCGCAAAAGCAAAACCUCCCUGCCAGGCCAUCUGCUCCGAGCUGGCGUCCGGGAAAUCAGGGGCCCCUCCUAUCUUGCGCUGGUGUCCAGGUACACCCUCACUCCUCCACUACAGGGUCCUUCUGUUGGAGCAGGAGGGAACCGCAGCCUGGAAGGGUGGGUGUGAACCAUGAACCCAGAUGACCAAGCCAGUGGAGGUGGCACAGGCAGUCCCCAAGGAAGGGGACACGUGUGUCCCGAGGUCAGAACUGAGAAGCUCUUCAACUGCCACUGCAUGUUUCUAACUUCUAGAAACCAUCAGGAUGGAUCUAAUUUCUCAUGUGGAAACUGGGGCUCUGAGCAGCACUUUCCUUCUCACUCAGAGGAGAGAUAACCCAGCACCCUGCAGGAGCCCAGCAACCCCCAUGGCCUGUGUCCUCUGCUUCUCCUGCUUUCGGCCUGGUUGAAUGCAUCACUGAGGAUUUUCUAUUGGUUCCUGGAAUUUAGUGUGAUUGUGUCUACCAUUUGUGGUAGACUGUUGCUUGGACAGUUAUCCUGUGGCAUGUCAGAAGAGUCCUGGCGUCCAAAGAUGUGACUAGGAGCAGAAUAAUGUUUUCCAAUGCAUGG
rnacentral:lncRNA from 10 species